CAGAAGCCAUACUCCUGCGAUCGCUCUACUCCCCUCCCCCAAUCCUCAAAUAACUUCAGCUUUCACCAGUCCUGAAGGCAGGGCUUCCCCUCUUUUACCAACAAAUACCUUUUGACAAAGUCAGGACUAGACCAAAGGCUGAAAAUAUGAGAGGGCCGUCGUGAGGAGGGACCAGGUCCAGGAUGUUGAGGAGAGAUGGAAAGCCACCCCCACCCCACCCCUCCUGAGGCCUGGUGUUCUGGUUCUCUCUGAGGUCCCACAGAUCCAGCCUUAAAGUAACUUUUGGAGAAGAGGACUUGGGUGCCCCCUCCACCUUUCCUGUCUGCAUGAUUCCCUGGGUGCUAAGUGUCAAGACUAAGGGCAAAGGAAGAAUUAGAGUCGUCAGAACUCAGGAGCAAAUUUGCAUGGAGACCCCUCUUGCGUCUCAAAACACACACAGGGGAUAAGAGAGCCUUGAGCGUCCUGUCCAAGUAUUGGGGUCUCAGGAGGCAGAUCUCUGGGCUGUCUUCACCAUGGCCUUGGCUCCACAUCCCUCCCCCUCCUCAUUUACAGCACAGGUGACCCCAAGAAAGAGGUCACGUGGUUGUGUGGACUGACACUUCUGACCCUUUUCCCAGGUUCACCUGGGCCACCCUCUCUCCAUUUCUCCUUCCUUUCUGGGUCCUGGGCCCCGUCUGCCCUGACCCAGCCUCCCUCCCAUGUGUGGGACUUUGAGACAAAUCAUUGCAUCUCUUACAGUGGAAACAGCAGCCACACUGGAACUUAUAACCCUGUCUUCUGGCACCAAUGAUGUCUGGAGCAGCCCUCACACUCCAGACAGAUGCUGUGAGCUCUCUGCCUUCAGGGCUUCCAGUUCUAUUCUCAGGCUCCAGGGUUGGGAACACAGCCUCCUUGACCAUCUCUGGAUUGCAGUCCGAGAGCGAGGCUGAUUUUCACUGAUUGUUGGAGGACAGCCAGAGCAUUUAUCUGCAGGGCUCCAAGCCCAAUGGGAACUAAGAUUAAAACCUGUAUUAAAUACUCAGCGUUUCAGAGCUUCACACCAACCAGACAGCCAGGCUAUGCUUUCUGUUGUCCUUUCUGCUCAUCACCCCAAGGGCAUAGGUGCUUCAGGAAAGGGACCCAUACAACUCAUUUUGCUCUUUAUGAUGGUGUGGGAGAAACAGUCUCCCAGGGGACACAUAGCUUUGCAAAAAUGAAAAUAAAAGCUCCUUUCUUCCUCUGUGGCCUUGGGAUGCAGACUCUGUUACCUCCUUCAGUGGCAACAUCAGGGGAAGAACAAGGGCUUCUCAUUGGGCUGAAACAGUUCAGAGGCCACAUCACCUGAAGACAUCUCUCUGUACCUCAAUGCGGAUUGAGGCACUCCGGCACCCAGCGACACAGGUCUCCAUCUUACCUGUCUCUAUGUGGAUUGGACCAAAGUGACACAGACGGUCCAGUUACUCCAGUAAAUGUUCAAAGAUGUUUUCCACAUGAAAAAAGCUUUGGAGGAUUCUCAGUAAUUUUUAAGAAUAUGAGAAGUUUCUGGAAACCAAAAAUUUGAGAACUACUGACUUCGGACAGUUGUUUACAAAACAAUAAAAGUACGGC